ACCUUCGGACUUCCAUCGAACUCUCGAACUCGCAAUGAAUCCUUCGUGCUUGACUCCGACACUUUGUUUUGCUUUAUGUCUUCGUCGUUAUCGUAGUUAAUCCUGCACACACAAGCAAAAACUCUACUCCGAUCUAGACAAUUAUUAUAAAGCGAAUUGACAUUCUGUUGCCCGGCACGUCAUUGGUUGGCGCUUCGUCCGAUUCUUCGGCGCAUCAUCCUCUCUUGCGGCUUGUUGCCCAAUCGGCGGUUGACCUCCGCAACGCCGAUAUCCUUGGCACAGUUUCGCUCUCCUUGGCCCG
rnacentral:lncRNA from 1 species